CGUGUAGGCGGGUCUUUAAGUCAGGGGUGAAAUGCCGAGGCUCAACCUUGGAACUGCCUUUGAUACUGGAGAUCUUGAGUCCGGGAGAGGUGAGUGGAACUGCGAGUGUAGAGGCGAAAUUCGUAGAUAUUCGCAAGAACACCAGUGGCGAAGGCGGCUCACUGGCCCGGAACUGACGCUGAGACGCGAAAGCGUGGGGAGCAAACAGGAUUAGAUACCCUGGUAGUCCACGCUGUAAACGAUGGAUGCUAGCCGUUGGGGAGCUUGCUCUUCAGUGGCGCCGCUAACGCAUUAAGCAUCCCGCCUGGGGAGUACGGUCGCAAGAUUAAA
rnacentral:rRNA from 1 species